rnacentral:rRNA from 1 species
GAUGAUCGCUGGCGGCGUGCUUUAACACAUGCAAGUCGAGCGAUGAAGUUUCUUCGGGAAACGGAUUAGCGGCGGACGGGUGAGUAACACGUGGAUAACCCGCUUCAUAGAGUGGAAUCGCCUUUCGAAAUGAAGAUUAAUACCGCAUAAUGUUUUGAGACGGCAUCAUCAUGAAACCAAAGGAGCAAUCCGAUAUGAGAUGGACCCGCGGCGCAUUAGCUAGUUGGUGGGGUAAAGGCCUACCAAGGCGACGAUGCGUAGCCGACCUGAGAGGGUGAUCGGCCACAUUGGGACUGAGACACGGCCCAGACUCCUACGGGAGGCAGCAGUGGGGAAUAUUGCACAAUGGGGGAUACCCUGAUGCAGCAACGCCGCGUGAGUGAUGAAGGUUUUCUGAUCGUAAAGCUCUGUCUUUGGGGAAGAUAAUGACGGUACCCAAGGAGGAAGCCACGGCUAAAUACGUGCCAGCAGCCGCGGUAAUACGUAGGUGGCAAGCGUUAUCCGGAUUUACUGGGCGUAAAGGGAGUGUAGGCGGACAGUUAAGUGGGAUGUGAAAUACCCGGGCUCAACUUGGGUGCUGCAUUCCAAACUGGUUGUUUAGAGUGCAGGAGAGGAGAGUGGAAUUCCUAGUGUAGCGGUGAAAUGCGUAGAGAUUAGGAAGAACACCAGUGGCGAAGGCGACUCUUUGGACUGUAACUGACGUUGAGGCUCGAAAGCGUGGGGAGCAAACAGG